rnacentral:rRNA from 1 species
GGGAAACUCACCAGGUCCAGACAUAAUAAGGAUUGACAGAUUGAUAGCUCUUUCUUGAUUUUAUGGGUGGUGGUGCAUGGCCGUUCUUAGUUCGUGGAGUGAUUUGUCAGGUUAAUUCCGUUAACGAACGAGACCUUAACCUGCUAAAUAGAAGCGCAUUUCUCCGGAAACGCGUCGUUCUUCUUAGAGGGACUCUAGUGCGUGAUAGCCUAGGGAAGUUUGAGGCUAAAA